rnacentral:rRNA from 1 species
UACGUAGGUGGCAAGCGUUAUCCGGAAUUACUGGGCGUAAAGCGCACGCAGGUGGUUUGCUAAGUUUGACGUGAAAGCGCCUGGCUUAACUGGGCGAGGUCGUUGAAGACUGGCAGACUUGAGGCGAUGAGAGGGGUGUAGAAUUCCCGGUGUAGUGGUGGAAUGCGUAGAUAUCGGGAGGAAUACCAGUGGCGAAAGCG